AACGAACGCUGGCGGCAUGCCUAACACAUGCAAGUCGAACGAGACCUUCGGGUCUAGUGGCGCACGGGUGCGUAACGCGUGGGAACCUGCCCUUAGGUUCGGAAUAACUCCCCGAAAGGGGUGCUAAUACCGGAUAAUGUCUUCGGACCAAAGAUUUAUCGCAUUUGGAUGGGCCCGCGUUGGAUUAGCUAGUUGGUAGGGUAAAAGCCUACCAAGGCGACGAUUCAUAGCUGGUCUGAGAGGAUGAUCAGCCACACUGGGACUGAGACACGGCCCAGACUCCUACGGGAGGCAGCAGUGGGGAAUAUUGGACAAUGGGCGAAGGCCUGAUCCAGCAAUGCCGCGUGAGUGAUGAAGGCCUUAGGGUUGUAAAGCUCUUUUACCCGGGAUGAUAAUGACAGUACCGGGAGAAUAAGCUCCGGCUAACUCCGUG
rnacentral:rRNA from 1 species